CCAUGAUCAAGAAUUGUUCUUCUGGAGUGAUAUUACCUCUCCGAACAUCCGGUCGGAGAUAGUUUAGCCAUCGAAGUCGACAACUCUUCCCGGUAUCGAUGAAACAACGUAUGAUGAUGACGAUGAUUAUAAUUUACCCGCAGCUUUGGCAAGAGAAUUCCAAACACCUUCACCAUGGUUGGCAAUAUAGUUGAUGAGAAUCAAUCUUCUUCCAUUGUCCAUGGACCUUUUCUCACUUCAACUUCUUGAUAUUGCAUGGUUGUUUUUCCAUUAUUUUUUCUUUUUUGAUCAAAGAGAAGGAUAGCAAGAGUAUUGAGAGAUAAGAGAAAAUAAAAAUUUAUCUUAGAAAAAGGGAUGAUGAAAAGAGAGGGAGAGAAUGUGAAAGAAAAAGAAGGUAAUAUGGGGAUUUUAUAGAGAAAAUCUGAGAAGAUUUGUCCUUGGUAAUUCUUGAUGCCAAAGAGAAGAGCUUUUAACCUAAUUAUAGUGUUAACGAAGGCAUGGAUGCAUGGUUAAAUACUUUUGCAUGCA